UACGGAGGGUGCGAGCGUUGUCCGGAAUCACUGGGCGUAAAGGGCGCGUAGGCGGCGCGGAAAGUCGUCGGUGAAAGCUCGGGGCUCAACCCUGAGUCUGCCGGUGAUACUCCCGCGCUCGAGCUCACUAGAGGCAGAUGGAAUUCCGGGUGUAGCGGUGGAAUGCGUAGAGAUCCGGAAGAACACCGGUGGCGAAGGCGGUCUGCUGGGGUGAGGCUGACGCUGAUGGCGCGACAGCGUGGGGAGCAAACAGG
rnacentral:rRNA from 1 species